rnacentral:rRNA from 1 species
UACGAAGGUCCCGAACGUUGCGCGAAUUUACUGGGCGUAAAGGGUCCGUAGGCGGUUUAGCAAGUGGUUGGUGAAAUUUCACGGCUCAACCGUGAAACUGCCUUCCAAACUGCUAAACUUGAGGCAGGGAGAGGUCGGCGGAAUUCCCGGUGGAGCGGUGAAAUGCGUAGAUAUCGGGAGGAACACCAGUGGCGAAGGCGGCCGACUGGAACUGUCCUGACGCUGAGGGACGAAAGGUAGGGGAGCAAACCGG